AUGGUGGAGGCCGUUGUAGAGGUCCCUGGAGUGGAGGUCAGGCCUGUGGAGGUUCCUGGAGUUGUACUGGAGGACGUAGGUGUUUCCUGGGAGGUGGUGGAGGCAACUGUGGAGGUCACCAGAGUGGAGGUGAGGCCUGUGGAAGUGCCUGGAGUUGUACUGGAGGCCGUGGAAGUCUCUGGGGAGGUGGUGGAGGCUGCUGUAGAGGUCACGGGGGUUGUACUGAUGCCCAUAGAGGUGUCUGAAGUGGUUGAGGAGGCCGUGGAGGUCUCAGCUGAGGUGGUGGAGGCCACACUUGUGGUCAAAAGAGUGGAGGAAGAAGCAGUGGCUGUCUCUGAGGAGGUGGUGGAGGCCACGGUCGAGGUCACAGGUGUGGAGGUCAGGCCUGAGGAGGUCAAUGGUGUGGUUGAGGAGGCUGUGGAGGUUUCAGAGGAUGUGGUGGAGUCCGUGGAGGUCUCCUGGGAGGUGGUGGAGGUUAUUGUGGAGGUCACUGGAGUGGUGGUGAGGCCUGUGGUGGUCCCUGGAAUUGUACUGGAACCUGUGGAGGUCUCAGCUGAGGUGGUGGAGGCCAAUGUGGUCAGAGGUGUGGAGGUGAGGCCUGUGGAGGUGCCUGAAGUUGUGCUGGAGGCUGUAGAUGUUUCCUGGGAGGUGGUGGAGGCAGAUGUGGAGAUCACCGUUGUGGAAGUGAGGCCCGUGGAGGUCCCUGGAGUGGUUGAGGAGGCCGCGGAGGUGUCAGAAGAGGUGGUGGAGGCAGAUGUGGAGGUCUCCAGAGUGGAGGUGGGACCAGUUGAAGUUCCUGGAGUUGUACUGGAGGCUGUGGAGGUCUCUGGGGAGGUCGUAGAGGCCACAGUUGAGGUCAGGAUUGUUGAAGUGAGGCCUGUGGAGGUCUCUAGGGUAGAGGUGGAGGCCGUGGAGGUCUCAGAAGAGGUGGUGGAGGCCACAGUGGAGGUCACAAGAGUUGAAGUGGGGCCUGUGGAGGUCCCAGGAUUUGUACUGGAGGCCGUGGAGGUCUCGGAUGAGGUUGUAGAGGCUCCUGUGGAGCUCACGGGGGUUGUAGUGAGGACUGUGGAGGAUUCUGGAGUUGUACUGGAGGCUGUGGAGGUCUCAGCUGAGGUGGUGGAGGCCACAGUCGAGGUCAUAGUUGUUGAAGUCAGGCCUGAGGUGGUCUCUGAAAUGGAGGCCGAGGAUGUGGAGGUCUCAGAAGAGGUGGUGGAGGCCACAGUGGAGGUCAGUGGUGUGGAGGUGAGGGCUGUGGAGGUCCCUGGAGUAGAAGUGGAGGCCGUGGAGGCCUCUGAGGAGGUGGUGGAGGCCACAGUCGAGAUUUCUGUAGUUGAAGUGAGGGCUGUGGAGGUCCCUGGAGUGGUUGAGGAGGCUGUGGAUGACUGUUGGGAAGUGGUGGAGGCCACAGUCGAGGUCUCUGUGGUGGAGGUUAAGGCUGUAGGCGUCUCUGAAGAGCUUGAGGAGGUUGUGGAGGUCUCUGAGGAGGUGGUGGAGGCCAGAGUUGAGAUUCCUGCAGUGGAGGUGAGGCCUGAGGAGGUUCCUGCAGUGGUUGAGGAGGCCGUGGAGGUUUCUUGGGAGGUUGUAGAGGCCACAGUCGAGGUCAGGAUUGUUGAAGUGAGGCCUGUGGAGGUCUCUGAAGUAGAGGUGGAGGCCGUGGAGGUCUCAGCUGAGGUGGUGGAGGCCACAGUUGAGGUCAUCAUAGUUGAAGUCAGGCCUGCGGUGGUCCCUGGAGUGGAGGCCGAGGAUGUGGAGGUCUCACCAGAGGUGGUGGAGGCAGAUGUGGAGGUCACGGGUGUGGAGGUGAGGCCUGUGGAAGUCCCUGGAGUUGUACUGGAGGCCGUGGAGGUCUCAGAAGAGGUGGUGGAGGCCACAGUUGAGGUCACAAGAGUUGAAGUGGGGCCUGUGGAGGUCCCAGGAUUUGUACUGGAGGCCGUGGAGGUCUCGGAUGAGGUUGUAGAGGCUCCUGUAGAGGUCCCUGGUGUGGAGGAGAGGCCUGUGGAGGUGACUGGAGAUGUUGAGGAUGCUGUGGAGGUCUCUGAGGAGGUGGUGGAGGCCGUGGUAGAGGUCCCUGGUGUGGUGGUGAGGUCUGUGGAGGUGACUGGAGUUGUACUGGAGGCCAUGGAGGUCUCAGGUGAGGUGGUGGAGGCCACAGUCGUGGUCAUCGUCGUUGAAGUUAGGCCUAAGGUGGUCCCUGAAGUGGAGGCCGAGGAUGUGGAGGUCUCUUGGGAAGUGGUGGAGGCCACAGUUGAGGCCACGGGGGUUGUAGUGAGGACUGUGGUUUCUGGAGUCAUACUGGAGGCCGUGGAGGUCUCAGAGGACGUGGUGGAGGCCGCUGUGGAGGUUAGAGCUGUGGAGCUUGGGCCCGUGGAGGUUCCUGGAGCUGUUGAGGAGGCCGUGGAUGGCACUGAAGAGAUUGUAGAGGCUGCUGUGGAGCUCACGGGGGUUGUAGUGAGGACUGUGGAGGAUUCUGGAGUUGUACUGGAGGCCGUGGAGGUCUCUUGGGAGGUCGUAGAGGCCACAGUCGAGGUCACUGUAACUGAAGUUGGGCCUGUGAUGGUCCCAGAAGUGGAGGCCGAGGCCAUGGACGUCUCUUGGGAGGUGGUGGAGGCCGUGGUGGAGGUCUCCGGAGUGGAGGUGGGACCAGUUGAAGUUCCUGGAGUUGUACUGGAGGCCGUGGAGGUCUCUGGGGAGGUCGUAGAGGCCACAGUUGAGGUCAGGAUUGUUGAAGUGAGGCCUGUGGAGGUCUCUGGGGUAGAGGUGGAGGCCGUGGAGGUCUCGGAUGAGGUUGUGGAGGCUCCUGUGGAGGUCACGGGUGUGGAGGUGAGGCCCGUGGAGGUCCCCGGAAUUGUACCGGAGGCCAUGGAGGUCCCUGAGGAGGUGGUGGAGGCCCCGUUCGAGCUCCCCACUGUGGAGGUUUGUCCUGUGGAGUCUCCUGGAGUUGUACCGGAGGCCGCGGAGGUCUCAAGGGACCCAGUAGAGGACGAAGGCGAGGCCUCGAUUGCGGUCUCCUCACCCCUUGGGGUCCCUGGAGAGGAAGAGGAGGCCGCGGAGGCCCCUGAGGAGGUUUCGUUGCCUCCGUUGGAGGAGGUUUUUGGGGAUGUAACAGGACUCGAAUCCCUUGGAGGGGCCGCGGAGGCCUCUGGUGAGGUGGCGGAGGCCACAGCGUAG
ensembl:lncRNA